AAUGAACGCUGGCGGCAGGCCAAACACAUGCAAGUCGAACGAGGCAGCAAUGCCUAGUGGCGGACGGGUGAGUAACGCGUGGGAACGUGCCCCUUGGUACGGAAUAGCCCUGGGAAACUGGGAGUAAUACCGUAUGUGGUCGAGAGACGAAAGAUUUAUCGCCAAGGGAUCGGCCCGCGUUGGAUUAGGUAGUUGGUGGGGUAAUGGCCUACCAAGCCGAAGAUCCAUAGCUGGUUUGAGAGGAUGAUCAGCCACACUGGGACUGAGACACGGCCCAGACUCCUACGGGAGGCAGCAGUGGGGAAUCUUAGACAAUGGGGGAAACCCUGAUCUAGCCAUGCCGCGUGAUCGAUGAAGGCCUAGGGUUGUAAAGAUCUUUCAGUGGGGAAGAUAAUGACGGUACCCACAGAAGAAGCCCCGGCUAACUCCGUGCCAGCCGCCGCGGUAA
rnacentral:rRNA from 1 species